rnacentral:rRNA from 1 species
GAUGAACGCUAGCGGCAGGCCUAAUACAUGCAAGUCGGACGGGAUCCAUUGAUAGCUUGCUCUCAAUGGUGAGAGUGGCGCACGGGUGCGUAACGCGUGAGCAACCUGCCUCCAUCAGGGGGAUAGCCUCUCGAAAGAGAGAUUAACACCGCAUAAUAUCAACAGUUCGCAUGUUCAGUUGAUUAAAUAUUUAUAGGAUGGAGAUGGGCUCGCGUGACAUUAGCUAGUUGGUAGGGUAACGGCUUACCAAGGCGACGAUGUCUAGGGGCUCUGAGAGGAGAAUCCCCGACACUGGUACUGAGACACGGACCAGACUCCUACGGGAGGCAGCAGUAAGGAAUAUUGGUCAAUGGGCGGAAGCCUGAACCAGCCAUGCCGCGUGCAGGAUGACUGCCCUAUGGGUGGUAAACUGCUUUUGUCCAGGAAUAAACCUAAAUACGAGUAUUUAGCUGAAUGUACUGGAAGAAUAAGGAUCGGCUAACUCCGUG